rnacentral:rRNA from 1 species
UACGAAGGGGGCGAGCGUUGUUCGGAUUUACUGGGCGUAAAGGGCGCGCAGGCGGCUCAUUUUGUCAGGCGUGAAAGCCCCGGGCUUAACCUGAGAACUGCGUUUGAUACGGAUGGGCUAGAGUUCGGGAGAGGAGAGUGGAAUUCCCAGUGUAGAGGUGAAAUUCGUAGAUAUUGGGAAGAACACCGGUGGCGAAGGCGGCUCACUGGCUCGUAACUGACGCUCAGGCGCGACAGCGUGGGGAUCAAACAGG